GUAAGGAAACAUUCAGAGAGGUUAAGUUGCCUUCCAAAGAUCUCACAGCUAGUAAGUGGUAGAGUCAGGAUUUGAAAUCAGAUUUGAAUUACUCCUUACUCUGAGCUCUUAACCACAAUGUGUGGGCAUCACCAGGCUUGUAGAGGACACUGCAGAGAGAGAGGAGAGAGAGUGCUCAGCUGUGUCAUUUGGCAGGGACAUGGG
rnacentral:lncRNA from 1 species